GGAUUAGAUACCCUGGUAGUCCACGCCGUAAACGAUGAGUGCUAGUUGUUGGAGGUCUAUACCCCUUCAGUGACGCAGCUAACGCAUUAAGCACUCCGCCUGGGGAGUACGGUCGCAAGACUAAAACUCAAAGGAAUUGACGGGGGCCCGCACAAGCAGUGGAGUAUGUGGUUUAAUUCGAUGCAACGCGCAGAACCUUACCCGGCCUUGACAUCCUGUGAAACUCUAGGAAACUAGAGCGUGCUGCCGCAAGGUAGAACGCAGUGACAGGUGCUGCAUGGCUGUCGUCAGCUCGUGCCG
rnacentral:rRNA from 1 species